GAAGGCAUUUUAGUAAACGAGGGCAUUUUGAAGAGGUGGAAGGUGAGUGUCAAAGCAGAGGGCACGCAUCAUUUGAGGGCAGUGGUGGGUUGUUCAAAUAUAGAUAUAGCCAUAUAGGGGGAGAGAGAGAGAGAGCGAUAAAAGAGAUGAGAGAGAGUGACGGUUGACGGCCAUUUUCUCCGGCCGACCGUCUUAGUACUCCGACGAGUAGCUUUAGACUCGAGUAUCACACUCGAUCAUCCAUAGACAAACCCCUUCUCGAUGGCGGCUCUAGGGUUCGGGCUAUUAAACCCGGCGGCGACCACAACCGACGGUCCACAGAUGCGUCGUACAUCCAUCAUGAUGAAGGGCUUUUCAGGGAUUUAACCGAGACACGUGGGUGUCUCCCUAACCUCCACAGCUUCCCAAUCCCAUUAAGUUAUACGGUAUCAAAUAUCAGGAGAGAGACAGAUUUGAGAGAGCGGUGAUGAGGAUACGGCCGUCGUCUCCGGCCGGCCACCCUCGGGUUAAACCGGUGGUGAUGGUCUGGUGGAAAGAUGAUGGGGUUGCAGCGGCGCCAUGGCGGCCCUACGGCGCGUCACCUCCUCCUCUGUUUCUUUACGUUUUAGUUACACAGCUCGCUCUUCUUUAGCUCGGUGUUCUACGACUUUUGUGAACGACAUUAAUGGCGCUUCAUGGCGGCGAUGGUCGUUGGUUGCUUGCCAGGGUUGAUAUUGUUGUUCUGUUGCUGCUUCAAGUUCGAAUAGGAGUUUUUUUCCUGCCUAUGCAGUUGAUUCAGGUGUUGCUUGGCGAGAUCCAGAGAGUAUCCUCGAGGGAAGGUAGGGCUGUCAUUAAACUUCAUUGAUAAUGGGUUUUUCAACAGUAAGUUCGUUAGUUUCAAUGAAAUUAUAUAUUUAUAUGUGUUUUUCUUGAGAUUGUGUUUGCUUUUUGGAUAUUUUGACUUUGUUCAGGUGUAUGACAUCAGAUUAUGAUGUAAUAUCCAUCAUAUUUGAUGUUCAUAAAUAUGCCAAAACACCAGAAGAUGCAGUUGCAGAAGUGGUUAAAGCAGGUGUCUGUGUCUUAUUUACUACUUUUUAUUAUUUAGGUAACAAAAACAUCUGCCCAGUGAUUUAGAAACUGUUAGACCAUGUGUAGUGGUACAAAUGAAUAAUGCCCUCACUUAUGGGUAUUGUGCGACACGUGUCAUCCCAAUCAGAAAAGGGGCAUUAUGAGCGUUUUUCACAAAUUGGCGUAGUGGGAUAAUGCCCAAUAAUGCCCCAUUGAUUGAUUACCCAAUUAUUUAAAAAAAUAAAAAUAAAACAAAUAAUAUUAGUUAGAAUAUGCUUAUUGGACAGACAAAAAUGAGAAAGCAUGCACAGGCGUUUUUUAAAUGAAGCGGAGGACCAUUUUUUGGAAAAAAAAAAACGCUUAAACACGCCUAGGGGGUGGGGGUGGGGGUGUUUGGGCGUGAUUGAUGAGGAAAAACGCCUACCACUACGCAUGGUCUUAUUGUACUGGCUGGGAUAAGUGGACGUGGUAGCUUCCCUAUGCAUGUCGACAAGUUUUUUAAGGUUGAUGCUUCUGUUUCUGAUACACUACCAGUAGCGUAGUAAAUUUUUCCGCCUUUACUUGCGAAUGGGUCAUAUUUGGGUUAUGCUUUAUCUUAAACGGGUCAAUAAAAUUUAUUGUAUACUUUUGUACAUAUAAACUAACGAGUAAACAACUUAGGCGUUUAAGGUUGCUUCUAUUGUGUUGGCUCAGGGUCCUCAACACCUCCCUUCUUUCAUAUAAGGUUUUCCUCUGCCGCGCACAGUUAACAGUGUCGAAUGUCUGUUGCAAACUGGCGACAGAGGCUGGACGACAAAGAAAUAUAAACUCUUAGACUGGAAGGAGCUAUACCACCAAUAGAAGUCCAACUUCUACGCAGCUCGUCAAAACAUGCUACACACUGGUCAACUGACAGGUAGACUGGUAUACCUCACAUGUUUACCCAUAUACAAAAAAUAACACUAUUAUCAUUGCAUUACUACACAUUUUAAGCUUAAAAGCAUGUACACGUCUAAGAACACGACUUGGGUUUUAGUUAUUAGGAUGCAAUAAGCUUAAUCUACUACUAUUUGAACUAAGAUAAUAAUGUUAAAUCAUCUGCAUAAUCAGCCAUCACGUGUAGGAAUGAGCUCGGUACCAUAACGGUACCAAAAAUACCGGUCCCAAAAAACCUACUUUUUCCGCCUUUACUUGCGAAGGGGUCAUAUUUGGGUUGUGCUUUAUCUCAAACGGGUCAAUAAAAUUUGUUGUAUACUUUUCUACAUAUAAACUAACGAUUAAGCAACUUAGGCGUUUAAGGUUGCUUCUAUUGUGUCGGCUCAGGGUCCUCAACACCUCCCUUCUUUACCUCUACAACACUAGAGCACAUGUCCUUCUUUCAAGACCUUCAACCUGGACUAAUUUGAGCUCAAGGUGAAUAUAAGUAUUGUUGUAUGCAUUGAAAUAUAAUACAAACACUAUAAGAUAUAAAAAGGUUAACGGUAACCUUUAAAAUGUUUCAAAUAAUAGUGAUUUUUUAGGGAUGUUAAUGAGUAGUGUUCAUGUUUUUACGAGUCGGACCUGACUUGAACACGACAUGGACCCGGAUAUCAUGUCACACAUGAAAAGUUAUUUUUAUUGAAAGAAAUAUGUUAAAUCAUGCUUAUUUGUUUUUAAUAAUUUUGAGCUUUCGGAUAAAACUACCCAAAAUAGUUUUAAGUUAUUGUUACAUAAAUACAUUUCUAACAAGUAAAUGAAUGGGUCAAAUGGGUACCUCAAACAGAGCCCGUUUAGUUAAACGUGUAUCCAAGUUUGACUCGAACUUGUAUAGACUAAACCCAAAUCCAUAAGACUAUAGGGUGUGGAGGGGCUUGAGUUGGGGGCAACCGCCAUCCCAACCCAUGCCCCACACCCCACGGUCUAAAGUCGAGCUCAUAAUAAGUUUUUUCACUUAUAAAUUUAAUUUUAACAAAAUGAAUAAUGCAUAUGUGGUGGUAUACUAUAGGAAGUUGCAAACUUUUUAUCUGGAGUUAUCACCAGCAAAGAGAGUACUAAAGUAUACGCAACCUAUGGUAAAUGCAGUGAAAAGUCAGAAAUGCUAAAACGUCAUAACAAAGAAGGUUUUAAAGGCACCAAGGCUAUUUGGUUUCUACACCUGAGUAAGAAAGCCAAAUAGAUUAGUAAAUAAUGCCAGACAACUCACAUGUUCUAAUCCAACCAUGUUUUUACCCGUUACCAAACCCACCCAUACUAUGGAACACAUAUUUGAUAAAUUACAAUUAUACAAGUGGGGCCCUUGACGUUACAUGUCGAACUCACGAUUAUAAGUCACGAGAAUCAGUUGGUGAUUCAACACCAGAAUUCUACAAUGACAUCCUCUUCUUUGGUGUAAUCAACAUAUUAGAGGAUUUUGACAUCAGCAAAAAAGCUUGAGCACGCCUAUAAAGCAUUCUAAUACGACCCGACUUCCAUUUCGCUCACAUGCAUACAAAAACUCCGGAUGACAAUUAGGCACUCUACUACAGAUGAAGAAAGCAGCAAACGCCACAAAGGGAAAUCGCCUUGAAGGGUCAACACAAAAGUCCUUUUGCUUCUAGGUAUGCAUGUGGACAUGUAAUCUUUUGGGUCCACUUCCUUAAUAUGUAAUAUUUUGGUUCAACUGAAACAUUUUCUCCAAUUCAACACAGAUUGUGUGUAUGUACAUUGUAUAAAGUCCAAUUCACACAUAUUAAAGAGUGGAAUACAUCAUAUCGGAACACGGCAAAAAACACAUUGUAAAACGCGCAACGCGCGAUGAUGAAUAACACUAGUUAUAUAUAUGAAGUUAAAAAUUUUUAUGUGAACAAUAUUAAAAUUUUAAAAACUAUAUUCACGUUCAUAUCAAUUGUAAACUCAUAUGAAUUACAUAUACUUUAUUUAUUAUUAUUGAUUAAUUAAUUAAUUAACUCACUAUUGAAAUAUCAAAGCAAAUCUUAAAAACAAAAACUAAAACAUAUAUUCUUGCUGCUUAUAUAUCGGCAUAAACUACUUUUUCACAAACCCUAGCAGCCCCCAAAACCUUUCGAAUUACCCACCCUUUUUUGAUCCGCACUUAACCGGCAGCAACCACCCACCGGUCUACUCUCUUCCGCCAUGGCGCCGAUCUAGCAGUCAAUGUAUUCGUGUACUCUACAAUACAAGGCAUCUUUGAAGAACCAACUAUUGGAAUGUGGGGAAUUAGAAAGGUGUACAAAGCAGUACAUGUUACUGUACAUUGCGUACAACUACUAAAGUUGGCGAUAAAUUCUACAAGUGGAUUAGACUACUUUCAUAAUAACUCAACGAAAGUACCGAGAGGGGUAAAAUAUGAUGGUGGAUGGAAGUUUGAUUCAACUCGAAUUGCUGGACCAAGCUGCAUGACCUUCCACUAGAUUUUAAUGAAGAUUUCAAAAUAUUGUACGAAGAAGAGCAAAAAGUGAUAGAAGAUGACAGUUUUUUUUCUAAAGAAGGAAGACCCACUAAUUCGACUUUUGGGACUCGAGCACGGGGGUCGAGCACGGACGAUAUCCGAUAUUAUAGGACAUACUAGGGUUCAUGGUGGAUUGUACAAAAAUGUGAACCAUAGCGUAACCAGGACAGAUGAAGUUAAGUAUGUUAAGGGUAUGUUUCAUGAGGUCGUUCAGUGGCCAAGACAUGCACUAAAGCAUUGUAGCUCGUGAACAAAGAGACGGCGAGCAAGUCAACUAGUGCCACGAGAAUGGCCUUGAGUGCUGGAUCACCAAAUUGUACAGGCGCCUCGCUACAAAUCCCUGUUGAUGAUACCGCGAUGACGCCAACAGGCUGAGGUAGUCAACCAGUAUCUAGAACUCCAAACUCAAGAUGUCAUGAUGCAACCUGAUAAGUUCAAGGCUCUUUAUGGCAUUUUUUAGAAGCCCAAUUCCCAAUGCGCUUUUCUUGAUCCCACGAAAAUCAGUGGUCCAAAGUGUAUUAAAGAACCUAAAGUUGUUGAGAGUUACAUAAAAGAUAUAAGUUGGUUUCAUUCCAAAAAAACUUCAUUCUUGCACCAUAUCUACAAAGUGGCCAUUGGUCGCUAAUAAUUCUUCAUCCUACUUCCUAUCAUGGCUAUAUUGUUGACUCCAUGAGAACCGGAAAGACCAAGAAAAGUUACACGCUUGUCUCUAUAAUUAACAAAGUUUUUUGGGAAGCGAUAAUUUAAGUGGGAAAUGGUACAGUGCAAGCAAUGAGAA